rnacentral:lncRNA from 1 species
GCAGCUAUACUGUGGAACAUUUAGAUAAUUUAAUCAAAGAGCCUUAGUCUUUACACUAUCUGUGUGUGUAUAGAAGUACCUUUUUGGUAAAAAUGACUAAAAUUUUCCAAAAAUGUAUUAAUUAAUGAAAUAAUAAAUAUUUCUUUAGAUUUAAACAGAAUGCAUUAUUGCUAUUUUUAAAAUUUGAAAAUAUGAUUUUUUCUUCAUGUUCUUGAAUUUAAUUUAAAAAUUCUAAGAAAUGAUAUCUAACUUCAUUCUAGGUAAUACUUAAAAGACCGUUGUCUUAUAUAUUAACUAUAGGUGUUUUCUAAAAAUAGAGUGGCUCAAUAGAAUUGUUAGUUUAUUUUGAGCUGUCUAAACCUGGAGACUUGGGAGUCCAAGUCACUUCCUUGAAGCAGCUAAAUUCCUAAGGCUCCACUGGGAAUGUGCACACCCUCCCAGGAGUAUCUCUUUCUAGCUUGUGUGCCAUUUGCAAACCAGACUUGUCAAAUAGAUGUCUCAUGAAUUCCGGUAAUGGAACCUGAUAGGCAUCUGCUGAAAAACUUCUUACCCAAAGCAGGAACCAAAUGAAUGGAAAGAACCGAAAGUUCUCCCAAGUAAUUGUUUCAAGUGAAAUGACAUUGGACAUCUCUUCAAAAACCGAUCUAAAAGAAAUCAACAGAAAUGAGCAAGAAAGUAGACACACUUUAUAGAUGCAGUUUUCAGAUAAGAGGAAAAUUAUUCUUUUCAUUUCAGAAAAGAAUGAAAUCUUUUCCAUGAGACAGUACAGGGGGAUGGAUAAGUGCUCAGAGAUCAAGUGUGUGAAUUUGACUUCCAGUUCUGUCUCCUGGUUGUAUAGUCUCUGUAAGAAGAUGGUCAUAAUAGUCAUAUCUACCUGAUAGGUUUGUUGUGAGAACAGUGCCUGGCCCAUAGAAAGCCUGUGACAGACUUUAAUAUCAUUCCCAGAGGUUUGAAAGAGAGAGAGAAUAAGAUAAAGGAUACUAAGUAGCAUAUGGGAAAGCAUGGGCUGUGGAAUCAGAGACCUCAAUUCACUUCUCAGGUGAUGCUCCUAGCUGGAUGACCUUGUGUAUGUUACCAAACCUCCUGGAGCCUCCAUUUUCUUAUUUUCUUUCUUUCUUUCUUUCUUUUUUUUUUUUUUCCUUUUUAUGGCUGCNAGCCACAGCCGCAGCAACACUGGAUCUGAGCAGCAUCUGCAACCUAUGUUGCGUCUUGCAGCAAAACUGAAUACUUAACCCACUGUGUGAGGCCAGGGAUCAAACCUGCAUCCUUACGGAGACUAUAUCAGGUUCUUAACCCACUGAGCCACAACGGGAACUCCUGUUUUCUUAUUUUCAAAAUGAAAGUACUAGUCAUGGAGUUGGAAGAUGAGAGAUGGAUACAAAGUCCCUGCACUUGAUAAGCAUUCAGUAUUAGGCCACCUUUCCCUGCAGCUCUAGAACUAGUUGUUAAAAAAUAUCUUUAUUAAUUUGUUUUUUGUACCCAAUAAAAUUUAUUGUGUACUUCUUUUAGGGUGAAAAUGGUUUACAUGGAGUUCCAGGAUUACCCGGUCAAAAGGGAGAGCAAGGUUUUGAAGGCCUUAAAGGAGAAAUUGGUGAAAAGGUAAAGAUCUUUAUAUGCUACAUACUCAUCUGUAAAAAUUGUGUUCUUGAAAAUAUUUUGAAGUGGGAUAUCUGACUUGUUUUUGUGUCUUCCUUAUAAGCAGUUCAGUGAUUUUUAUAGGAAUAGUUUAAAAUUUGUGCCUCACUUAAGGUAGACUUAGCAUAUUGAUGAUGGUCAGAAAUCUUUCUCAACUUGUUAAAUGGUAGUUAUUUCUACAUAUUCUUGUUAAAUCAUUCCAUUGAUGUGCAAAUGACCCACACAUUUGUUAAGCAUUAUAUUUUUGUGCUCUCACAUUAUUGAUGCACUCAUUAAGUGUCCAAGUCUAAAUAAAUGCUUUGUUUUUAUGUAUACCUGUUUUAUCAGUGGAACUUUUCCUGAGGAAAUAAGUAGGACUAAUUGUAAUAGUCAGGGUCCAACAGAAAAGGGAUGGUACACUCAAAAUAGAAUAGUGUGAAAGAGUUUAACAAAGGAAUUAUAUAAAAAGUAGGGGCAAGGCUUAGGUAAGCCACUAGGAUUGUGCAGUAUAUCCCAGACUGGGUUAUAGUGAAUUCCUUAAAUCCUACCAGGUUACUGGUUUCCAAACUCAGAGGUAGAGAAAACUAUGUAGAAAGAAAGGGCUGCAGGCUGGAACUGAGGAAAGCACUUAACGCCUCUGUUCAAGCAAUCCUUUUGCACAUUCACAGCUUUGCACUGAAAGUACAGAGAAUGGAAGUGUCCUGGUCAUCUGAAAUUUCCCUUCACACAAUCAUUUGCAUCCUUCUGCAUUUCAUAUGUCUAGUUUUAUUUUCAAAUAGAACAAAAGCAAUACCAUUCCUUUGUUUUGUAAAAUGUCAUGUAAUUGGAGAGCCAGAAGGAAGGCUAGAAAGGGGAAAAGUUCAUUUCAAAUUAGGGUUGAUGAUCUGUGUUGAGUUUUCUGAGCUGUGAUCAGUUAUUUGCUUAUUCACUGAGUAUUUAUAGAUAGAAUGAGCAUCUAUUGUAAUUGCAAGACAAAUUAUGCAUAUUGUAAGUGACUUGUUAAUUACUUUUCCUCACAGAACAGUGAGGAAAAAGGAAGGAUAACCAGGUAGUAACCAUGUAAUUGAGAAAUCCAUUGAGUGAUGACUCUUUUUAAAAUAGGACUCUUGAAUAUUUUUACUUUAGAAUAGCAGUCAGUGCAACGCAAUGGCUCUAAAUAAAUGCUUUAUUUACACAUAUUCCUGUUUUAUUAAUGGGACUUUACCUGUAGGAAUAGGUGAAAAGAAGCCAGAAAAAUAGAUAUAUUCUCUGUAAUUUAAAGUUUCCAUCUCACUAAAAUCUUAGUGGCUAUUUUGAUAUUUUAUAUGUACAAGUUGAUAUUGUUCAGUAAUAAAUUCUCACAGUAUAGGAGGUAUAGAAAAAACAUUCAAUAUAUUUGACUACAAAGAUUUGCCUUUUAAUUCCUCAUAUCUAUUAACUGUUGCCUUCAAAUAAUCAAUUUCACCAUGAGGUGAAAAUAUGUAUGUAGAAUAUGAUUAAGAUAUCGGGAAGAAAUAAAGCCUCAACUAGAAAAGAAAAUAUCUUGAAUGAGAAUCACUACUCACAUAGUUUAUAGUCAAAUGUAAGAUUCACAUAAUAACUCUUAAUGUUAGAAAUAUAUUCUGCCUUAAUUGUUAUUUAUCAUAUAUGGGAUCUUUGACUUGUUUCAGUGUUACAUGCUAUGUCUUAUGAUAUAGGACCAUGUCUAUUUUUCCAUCUGAUACAUAAAUGACAUCACACUUUUGUUUCUAUAUUAGAAACUUUUUGUUUCUAGAUUAAACAAGGAAAGUAUGUAAAGCACUCAUUUUUGUGUGACACCAGUAAUAUUCUUGGACUGCUUACAACAUAAUCUGUUUUCUGAAUAAAGACAACCUCAUUUGAAUUUUAGUUCUCUGUGGAAAACUGAGUCAUAAUGAAAUAAGACAACUUUCUUCUUAAUGACCUUAUGCAGUCUUAGGUGUUUAAAAUUUGACUGUUUUGAGUAACACAGUUCACUAGUUGCCAAAUAAAAUAAUUCACUAGUUGUUAUUAUUCAAAGACAUCGUAUCUACCAAAGUCACAUGGCUGCUGACCCAAAAAGAAAGGUUUAUUAAUUGUCAAAGAGAACAUACCAUAUGAUGGUUUUCAGGUGGUAUUUCUAUAAUCCAUUAUAAACCAAAUAGGGAAAUCUGCUGCUUUUCUUUAUGGUUAAAAAACUAGCUUUCAGACCAGCUUAACACGAGCCAGACUAUUACAGGUUCCUCAGUCAGAAAGGAAUCCAGGAAAUGUAAACAAGUAUUGAGGACCUUGUUUGAAAGCAUAUUCCUGAGGCUAUCGCAACUCAGAGCGGAAACUCAUACCUCAUUACCCAAGCAAACACAAUUCAGCCAAGUCGGCCCUAAAGUGAAAGUUACUUGAAGGGAUGGUUCUUUGUCUCAAAGAUUAGGUUCUUAUGCUGGAACCUUAGGUUUAUCACGUAGAUAUGCAUGCAUAGGAACGACCACACUCCACUGCCCCAUUCCUGGCUGGUAAAGUCAGGUGAGCAUCAUUCAAGAAACCCUGGACUCCCUGACAGUGUAGCCCAUGAAGCAAGAGGGAGAAAGUCUGUAUUCUGGCAGAGGAGUAGACCCCUAACUCAGGUCUACAUCCUGGCUUCUCUGUUCCUAUAGGAGUGGUCUUAAAUAUCCCUUCUUUGGGGGAUUUUUCCCUUAGGUACCUUCAGUAUUACUAUAGACAUAAUGUGGCUACUACUAGUACUGAACAAAGUGAAGAGUCCACUCUUUAAACAAUAUAUAUAUUUUAUUGAAGUAAAGUUGGUAUACCAUAUUGUGUUAGUUUCUGCUGUAUAGCAAAGUGAUUCAGUUAUACACAUACAUGUGUAUAUUCUUUUUCUUAUUCUUUUCCAUUAUGGUUUAUCACAGAAUAUUGAGUAUAGUUCCAUGUGCUAUACAGUAGGACUUUGUUGUUGUCCAUCCAAUAUCCAUAGUUUGCAUGUGUUAAUCCCAAAUUCCUGAUCCAUCCCUCCCCCAUCCUCCUUUUCUUUGGCAAUCAAAAGUCUGCUCUCCAUGUCUGUGAGUCUGUUUCUGUUUUAUAGAUAGGUUCAUUUGUGUCUUAUUUUAGAUUCCACAUAUAAGUGAUAUCAUCUGGUAUUUGUCUUUGAUUGACUUCACUUAGUGUGAUAAUCUCUAGGUGCAUCCAUGUUGCUGCAAAUGGCAUUAUUUCAUUUUUAUGGCCGAGUAGUAUUCCAUUGUAUAAGAUGUAACACAUCUUUAUCCACUUCUCUGUCAAUGGACAUUUAGGUUGCUUCCAUGUCUUGGUUAUUGUGAAUAGUGCUGCUACGAACAUAAAGGUGCAUGUAACUUUUCCAAUUAUAGUUUUACCUGGAUAUAUGCCCAGGAAUAGGAUUGCUGGAUCAUAUGGGAACUCUAUUUUUAGUUUUUUGAGGAACCUCCAUACUGUUUUUCAUAGUGGCUGCACCAAUUUACAUUCCUACCAACUGAGUAGGAGGGUUCCCUCUUCUCCACAGUCUGUGCAGCAUUUGUUAUUUGUAGAUUUUUUUAAAUGAUGGUCAUUCUGACCAGUGUGAGGUAGUGAAGAUUCCAGUCUUGAUGACAGUUAUCCCUACUGUCCGCCUCCCUGGCAAUGAUUCAGCCAAACAAACUCUUGUUAUAUGACCAAAGGUAAACACAGGAAUGAAACUUUGCAUAUCACUUUAGAAAAAGGCCCAUUUGUCUGAGGUUCAGUGAAGUGAUCUGUACUCCUAAACCCUGAGCCCAGGUCUUUACUUUAGGUCUUUGUGAAAAUAGGACUAUUACGUGGUUGCAUUUAUGGGGGGAAAAAAAAGGAGCAAAUGGAAAAGCAGAUACAAACAUCUGCUUCAUGAUAGCAUUCAAUAUUUUAAGGUUAUUCUUCAGAUCAUGUAAUUUAGUUUGCUUUUAAAAUUAUUAUUAUUUUGUGUUGUCAUUCAAGCCUUAAAUAACUUAAAAGUUUAAAAAAUAUUUUCUUCAGCAUUUAAACUUGAUUCUGCUGCACUUUUUUUUAUUAAAUAUCAUUUGAUUGUGUGAGAGAAACAUCCAGUGGCAACUGUUACUCAUGCCACAGUGUUCCUAACACUUUGUAGCUAAAAUGUUGUCAAUUUCAGUUCAUUCAAAAGUGACAUUUAAGAAUGUGGGCACAGAUAGCCCCAAAUCCUUUCAAGGAUCUAAAAUGUUUCAAUAAGUGUGUGACUUUUCCAUUUGAUAUUAAAAUAAUCUGAUCUUUUCAGGAUCUCUUAAGUUUAGUGAAAAAAAAAAAAAAAAAAAA